ensembl:ncRNA R07D5.4 ncRNA
GAUAGGCGUCGUCGUCUGUCGUCCAGGACGAAUAAUUCAUAUUUUUGUUGUCUCUUCAUCUCCUUUUUUGGGAGAGCUCAGGGGCCUCCACAAAGAAAUAACGCCUGGUGACUGGCAGCGGCAACAGGAGAGCUA